GAUUGAACGCUGGCGGCAUGCCUUACACAUGCAAGUCGAACGGCAGCACGGGUGCUUGCACCUGGUGGCGAGUGGCGAACGGGUGAGUAAUACAUCGGAACAUGUCCUGUAGUUGGGGAUAGCCCGGCGAAAGCCGGAUUAAUACCGCAUACGAUCUACGGAUGAAUUCGGUGGACCUUCGUUCCUCGCGCUUUAUUUUUGUCCGAUGGCUGAUUAGCUAGUUGGUUGGGUAAAGUCCUACCAAGGCUACGAUCAGUAGCUGGUCUGAGAGGACGACCAGAAAAACGGGAAGUGAGACACGGACAAGAGACCUACGGGAGGCAGCAGUGGGGAAUUUUGGACAAUGGGCGAAAGCAUGAUAAAGCAAAGCCGCGUGUGUGAAGAAGGACUUCGGGUUGUAAAGCAAUUUUGUCCGGAAAGAAAAAAUUGGAAAUAAUACGGUCGGGGGAUGACGGUAACGGAAGAAUAAGCACCGGCUAACUACGUG
rnacentral:rRNA from 1 species